GGGCGCGCCGUCGAGCGCUUCCCUGAAACGGAAUCACGGUGAAUGACGGUCGAGACCGAAGUGCACGGGUGACACGCGCCCUGAUCUGAGAAGGUCCGGUGAGGCUUGGAGCGUCACUGCUUUCCUCUUCCUGGCUCUCGGCACGUGUGGCUCUGGGCUCUCAUGUAGAACACAGGAGGUGGAGGUGCGUGGGUCACCGUGUUCCUUAGCGACGCCCUCGAACCCCAGACAAGCCCAGAGGAACGACCGGUUGGACGUUUCUGACCUCGCAAAGCCUCCCACCGACGUGUCUCCGUGACGCCCGGAGAA